rnacentral:misc_RNA from 1 species
GAUGAAGAACGUAGCGAAAUGCGAUAAGUAAUGCGAAUUGCAGAAUUUCCGUGAGUCAUCGAAUCUUUGAACGCACAUUGCGCCCCCCGGCAUUCCGGGGGGCAUGCCUGUUCGAGCGUCUCCAGGACGAAUCCUCGCGCGAGUGAACGCGCGGUCGUGGCGGAGGUGGCGUGCCCGUGCAGGGCGGCCACCGCGCUGGAAUCCAUGGGCGGACGCCUGCCGCGUGGCCGAGCGUGAUAUGACGCAUUGGCGUUCGUGCGCGGCGAGGCUGCCAGCCCUGGCCCGUCUGUCGGGCGGGGUAGAUCACCACGUGGGAACUCCUCGAAUCAGGUAGGGAUACCCGCUGAACUUAAGCAUAUCAAUAAGCGGAGGA